GACAGAGGAUGCAAGCGUUGUUCGGAAUUACUGGGCGUAAAGCGCACGUAGGCGGAUAUUUAAGUCAGGGGUGAAAUCCCAGAGCUCAACUCUGGAACUGCCUUUGAUACUGGGUAUCUUGAGUAUGGAAGAGGUAAGUGGAAUUGCGAGUGUAGAGGUGAAAAUUCGUAGAUAUUCGCAGGAACACCAGUGGCGAAGGCGGCUUACUGGUCCAUAACUGACGCUGAGGUGCGAAAGCGUGGGGAGCAAACAGGG
rnacentral:rRNA from 1 species